rnacentral:tRNA from 1 species
GGCUUCAUAGCUCAGUUAGUAAGAGUAUUGCACCGGCAUCGCAAGGUCAUGGGUUCGAAUCUUGUUCAAGCCU